rnacentral:rRNA from 1 species
UACAGAGGGGGCAAGCGUUGUUCGGAAUUACUGGGCGUAAAGGGCGCGUAGGCGGCCCGUUAAGUCGAACGUGAAAUCCCCAGGCUCAACCUGGGAACUGCGUCCGAUACUGGCGGGCUUGAAUCCGGGAGAGGGAUGCGGAAUUCCAGGUGUAGCGGUGAAAUGCGUAGAUAUCUGGAGGAACACCGGUGGCGAAGGCGGCAUCCUGGACCGGCAUUGACGCUGAGGCGCGAAAGCCAGGGGAGCAAACGGG